AUCAGGAACCAUGGCUCACUGGAGCACCAUCUUUGGAGUCUAGCUAACACAGCAUCUUGGAUGCACUCCUAAGAGAAGACUACCUGAAAGGCGUGUACACUGGUCUAGCAGUUGAGAUCAGCUAGUGUUCCAUCUAUCUUCUGUCAUGUCAGGGAAGACUCUCUGAUCCUCUCAUAAUUUACCUAUUGUUGAUUUCCUGAAUCUUUUUAAAUCCUUUGCAACUGAAGAUGGUCUCUCCAUCAGAGAAGCAAUUAACCAAAUGCCUGACUACAGCGUAUAUAGCAUCUGUUAUAAAAGCAUAAAAGGUUAACUUAAAUCCUGGCACACAAAGGAGAUGUCAGACCAGAACAAAUCAGCAUGGAAAUACCUGGAGGAGAUACAAGGUUAAGGUGGAGCAUAUGUACAGUCAAGAGGAUGUUCAUGACUAGUGGAAUGUGUUUUUCAGAUUGCAAAGACUGGAAGGUGCAGGUGACAAGGAGAUUAAACAAGGUCACUUGUUUUCUUUCCUUCUCUGAAAUAAAGAAGGUCAGUCUGGUAA
rnacentral:lncRNA from 1 species